rnacentral:lncRNA from 1 species
GUCGAUCAGCUCGGCGUACUCCGCCUCCGCGAGGAGACGACUUCCCCAGCAUCCCCAGGAAAGGUGGCUCGCAUCGUCGUCCGCAAGCCGGUCUAUGAUCUCGAUGUGGAGACGCUUGCACUCCGCAUUGAGUCCGUGUUGGGCACGAGCCCCACGGUUAAUGACGUGGAUAUUGUCAUUUAUUCACUAGCUGAAAUUUUCAGCCAGCUCUCCGAAGGCGCU